AUAAGUAGACAUGUUCGUAACUUGGGAAAGAGCAUAAAAGAAAAAAAAAACAUCAUUCUCUCUCAGUCGCUCUAUCACACAAAAUGAUGUCUCUGCGAUCAAUCUCCGCUGUUCUAAUGUCGCUCCUUCUCCUGUCUGCCACGGCGGGUAUGAUCCAGACCGGGCCCGCUCCAGCGUCGACCAUACCGGUCCAAAAUGGGUUCUUCCACCGGUGCCUUGCACCCAGGAAGAUUGUGGCUUCGUUUGCAGGCACAACGAUUUGCUUCCUUUUGGAUGUCCAGGCGUCAACUGUUACUGUCUGCAGAAUCCAUAAAUAAUUGUUGUACGAGUUUGUCUACAAAAAUUAUCCAAGUUUGAUGAAAUAAAGUAUCUGAAUUAAGUGGUGA